rnacentral:lncRNA from 1 species
UAUAUAUAUAUAUAUAUAUAUAUAUAUAUAUGGAGUGGACUGGCCGGGUUGACCGGGAUGAUUGGUUUAAUAAAGCUCUUAUCACGGCAUUGAUAAACAAUCAAAAUGACUUUUUCUGUGUUGGUGUAAUGUACUCAGAUGAAUAUGAUGCUUGUGAUGUUACUCUGAGUGUAUAUCCACACCGGGCAGGCUUGGAAAAUAUUCCUGACCACCGACGGUGGGAAUCUGACCUACGACCUUUGGAAUACUAGCCCAAUGCUCUUCCAACUGAGCUACGUGGAGGCUAUAUAUUACUAGUAUUCCAAAGGUCGUAGGUUCGAUUCCCACUGUAGUCAGGCAUAUAUCAGUUUUCAAGCUUGCCCGGUGUGGAUAUACACUCAGAGUAACAUCGCAAGCAUCCAAAAUGACAUUUCAAAGUUGAACUAGCUUAGUUUGAUUCCAAUUACAGUA